UUCCUGACAGGCUGGAAAAACCUGCCAGACAAGCUGGAACCACCACCCGGACUUGCCGAAACCACCAACCACACACAACGGAAUCAGGUCCCGGACAGGCGAGAAUCACCAGUCGGACAUGCGGGAACCAACUGCUAGACGCCCCAGAAGCAACCACUGGAUACGUCAGAACCACCUUCCGGACAUACCAGAAACUCAUUCAAGACACAUGUGAAACCCCUUGCCUGACACGCUGGAACCACCUGAAUGACAUGCUGGUACCACUGUCCAGACCUGCUGGAAAUACCUGUCAGACAAACUGAACCACCUGCCAGACAAGACUGAACCACUUUAUGGACAUUCUGGAAGCACAUGCCGGGCAUGCUGGAACCAGGUGCCUGACAUGCCAGAACCACCUGCUGGACAUGCCUGAGCCACCUGCCAGACUUGCGUGAACCACUUGCUAGACAUGCAGGAACCACCUGCUGGAUACAUCAGAAAAUGGUGUCUCACACACUGAAAUCAGGUGCUGGACAUGACUGAACCACCUGCUGGAUACGCUGGCGCCACCUACCAGAUACACCAGAAACAAGUGUCGCACAUGCCAGAACCAGGUGCUGGACAAGACUGAACCACCUGCCGGACAAGCCUGAGCCACCAGCCAGCCAUGCUGUAACCACCUUCAGGAUGCGCUGGAACCAUCACGUGGACAUGCCGGAACCACCUACUGGAAGCACCAGAACCAGGAACCUAUAUGCAGGGAAACCUGCCAGACAUUCUGGAACCAGAAGCUGGACACACUGGAACAACCAGACAUGCCAGAACCACCCUCAAGACACGCCAGAACCAAUGGCCGGACACACCAGAAGCACCCACCCAACACGCCCAACCACCUUCUGAACAUACCAGAACCACAUGCCAAACUCGCCGGAACCACGGGUUGGAUAUGCCAGAACGAGGUGCUGGAUACACUGAAACCACCUGCCGAAAAUGCCAAAACCAGUUGCCAGACACGGCUGAAAAACCUGCCGGCCACCUCCAAAUCACCUGCUGGAUAUGCUGAAACCAUCUGCCGGACACACUGGAACCACCUCUUGGACAUGCCGAAACCAUCUGCCAGACACGCCAGAAACAGGUCCAGCACAGGCCAGAACCAGGUGCUGGACAAGCCUGAAGCAGCUGCUGGACUAGCCUGAACCACCUGCUGGACCAGCCUGAACCACUUUAAGGACAUUCUGGGACCACAUGCUGGGCACACUGUAACCAGGUGCCCAACAUGCCAGAACCACCUGCUGGACACGCCUGACACACCUGCCAGGCUUGCAUGAACCACCUUCUGGACACGCCAGAACCACCUGUCGGAUACAACAGAAACAGGUGUUGCACAUGUCAAAACCAUGUGCUGGACAUGCCUGAACCACCUGCCAGACUUGCAUGAACCAACUGCUGGACAUGCUGGAACCAACUGCCAGAUAUGC
rnacentral:lncRNA from 1 species